rnacentral:rRNA from 1 species
UACGUAGGAGGCGAGCGUUGUCCGGAAUCACUGGGCGUAAAGCGUGCGCAGGCGGUUUUGUAAGCCAGAUGUGAAAUCCCCGGGCUUAACCUGGGAAUGGCAUUUGGGACUGCAAGGCUGGAGUGUGGCAGAGGAGACUGGAAUUCCUGGUGUAGCAGUGAAAUGCGUAGAUAUCAGGAGGAAUACCGAUGGCGAAGGCAGGUCUCUGGGCUGACACUGACGCUCAUGCACGAAAGCGUGGGGAGCAAACAGG